CCACAGAAUGGAAAUGUAUUUGUCACCAGGACCUCCUUUCUCCUCCCUGCGAUGUGUGGUUGGGUUCAUCCCUUUGGUGUGUGAAUGGCACAGCUCCUGCCCCUGCACACCCAAAACUGUUGUCCUAAAGGCAUUCUUCUGCUUUGUUUAGCUUCAUUUUGCUUUUUUUUUUCUUUUUUCCCCUUAGAUGAAUCUGUAACAUUCCCUGGCCUUCCCCAUAGCGCCUCUCCCCACACCUGUAAUAAAAAUGAACCACGGCCCUUUCACCCAGAGACACAGUUUCAGUUGUUUAUAGGUGAUGCUACGUAUCUUUCAGGCUGUAAAAUCCAACCCAGCUCUUUCAUUUGAUGGCACGUCCUUCUGGCAGGUCCAUUGCAUGAGGCUGUAUUGCGGGCCAAUGGAAGUCACCUCCCCUUUGUUAAUUGGCUGGUAAAUCUAUAACAAGUGGCUUGUAACAGACAAGAUACAGUCUCUAAUUAGAUUAGCUUGUAAUUUCUAAAGCGCCUGGUUUAGAGAGCUAAGUUAGCUCAUUUUGUUCCCGGUGAGAUAGGAUCUCGUGGCAGUUCUCUGUAAUUUAAGUCAUUUCUCAGCUCUGCAAACAGCCUGGGCCUGAGGAGCACACCGGGAUCGCGUCGCUGUUGUUUGGCGGGGAGUUUAACGGCGGGAAAGGAGCCGUGCUGCGCCCCGAGUGCUGCUGUGACGGCUCUGCCUUCCGCGCCCCUCAGCGCCUCACAGUCCCCUUUGUGUGCCCACGCCGGGAGGGGCGGCGUCUGGGGAGUGGUUUGUGCCGAAUUCGUGGCUGCUGGGAGGACGAAGGGGAAACCACGCCGCUAGGAAAGGCGUGUCCUGCUGACUCAAUCUCCUGUAACAAGAAACAUUCAAGAGGAAGGAAAGGGAGAUCUUCCACUUGAACUCAGAGUUGUAACUGGUGCGUGAGCGAAUCCCUCUAAUCCAGCAAAGCAGGGGCAGAAGGAAGGGUUUAUCUUCUACCCCGGCCAAGUGCUUCUCAGUGUUUGCAGUGAGAAAACAGGCACAAGCACUGCAUUCUUGGUACUCCUCCCCAUGCCUGUGCCUGAAGGCAGCCCUGAGACACACACACGCUGUUUGCC
rnacentral:lncRNA from 1 species